ACACAUAUUCAAUGUAACAUAUAUUUAUAUACUAUAAUUACUUUAUUCUUAAUUACUUCAUUUUUGUCUUGUCUCUUAACUUCCCAACAUUUUGUCUCGUACAAUAUCACAUGUCUUAUAAUUAUUUGGAAAAAAAACCCUUUAACUUGAGUAGUAUGUUCAUGUCACAUAAAAUCCUUAAAUCCCUCCUCUAUUUCCACCACGCAACUUGAA
rnacentral:lncRNA from 1 species